CGAAAUCCGAUCGGUGUAAAGGGCACAACUUUUUGAAAAGAAUAAGACCAGAAACAGCAACAACUUUCUUCCCGUCUGAGAUAAAAUGAAUAAGUCCAAGGUUGGCGUCAUCGUGGUCGUGGUCUUCGUCAUGUUGGCUGUCGUCGGUGAGAUUGCCGCUGUCCCGCAACCUGAACUGGGCGCAGUGGGUGAGGGUGCCGCUGAAGGUGUGAUGGCAGAACCUGCCGCUGUCAACUCCCGCUUCCGGCGGACAGCCGGCUGCUCAGGGGAUAAGG